rnacentral:lncRNA from 1 species
CUCAAUGGGACACAAUGGCUCCAACGGAAAGCACACAGAUACACUGAAUGGGUGAUGGCUUGGGGACCGCUUGGUGACAACGAUGUGCUGAGCUGGGUACGCAGCCUAUUUAAUGCAUUGCAACGUCUCCAUAUUUGCUGGCUUGGAGUGGAACAUACAGCACCCCCAGAGCUGGCACCCAGGCAAGCUUCAUGCCUUCGCCAUCUGCAGAGUUUCUACCUCAGGUCCCGUUCGCUUUACUGUAACUGCCUCUUUUACGUGGGUGCGGAGCCGAGCCCCAUCUUAAAGCCAUCUCUAUCCUGCUCCUGCUCCUGAUCGCCGCUGCUGGUCUGAAAUGACGGCUUGGUGUCUCUGCUUUUAAAUUUAUGUUUGAGCUCAGGGGUUGCUUCAAAUGCAUAUUUUCUUGAGUAACACGGUGCUGUUUUGCUAAGCUCAUUUCUGGUUUCACAGCCUCCCCCCACCCCAGUCUGUGCUCCGGUCCCCAUCCCCAGUACUUGUGACACCUCGCUCUCACUCUCCUCUCCCCCACAGCUGACUUGUCCUCAGCACACAGUCUGCUCUGCCUUCCAGCCCGCCUACUUUGAUUAAUUAAAUAAUUUGUUGACACACUC